UCAGUCUGACAUGCAAAUCGUUAAUU
rnacentral:snRNA from 1 species